ACGCACGCUGGCGGCGUGCUUAACACAUGCAAGUCGAACGGAAAGGCCCCUUUGGGGGUCCUCGAGUGGCGAACGGGUGAGUAACACGUGAGUAACCUGCCCUUGACUUCGGGAUAACUUCAGGAAACUGGGGCUAAUACCGGAUAGGAAUCCUUGCUGCAUGGUGGGGGUUGGAAAGCUUCGGCGGUUUUGGAUGGACUCGCGGCUUAUCAGCUUGUUGGUGGGGUAGUGGCUUACCAAGGCUUUGACGGGUAGCCGGCCUGAGAGGGCGACCGGCCACAUUGGGACUGAGAUACGGCCCAGACUCCUACGGGAGGCAGCAGUGGGGAAUAUUGCACAAUGGGCGGAGGCCUGAUGCAGCAACGCCGCGUGCGGGAUGACGGCCUUCGGGUUGUAAACCGCUUUCAGCAGGGGCGAAGCUUGUGGUGACGGUACCUGCAGAAGAAGCACCGGCUAACUACGUG
rnacentral:rRNA from 1 species